rnacentral:rRNA from 1 species
GACAGCAGUAGCCGCGGGAAUACGGAGGGUGCAAGCGUUAAUCGGAAUUACUGGGCGUAAAGCGUGCGUAGGUGGUGGUUUAAGUCCGUUGUGAAAGCCCUGGGCUCAACCUGGGAAUUGCAGUGGAUACUGGGUCACUAGAGUGUGGUAGAGGAUAGUGGAAUUUCCGGUGUAGCAGUGAAAUGCGUAGAGAUCGGAAGGAACAUCUGUGGCGAAGGCGACUAUCUGGGCCAACACUGACACUGAGGCACGAAAGCGUGGGGAGCAAACAGGAUUAGAUACCCCAGUAGUCCCUGUCUCUUAUAC